UACAGAGGUCCCAAGCGUUGUUCGGAUUCACUGGGCGUAAAGGGUGCGUAGGUGGCUGAGUUAGUCUGAUGUGAAAUCUCCGGGCUUAACCCGGAAACUGCAUUGGAAACUGCUUGGCUAGAGGGUUGGAGGGGGGACUGGAAUACUUGGUGUAGCAGUGAAAUGCGUAGAUAUCAAGUGGAACACCAGUGGCGAAGGCGAGUCCCUGGACAACUCCUGACACUGAGGCACGAAAGCUAGGGGAGCAAACAGG
rnacentral:rRNA from 1 species